UGUUUCUUUUAAGACAAGCUGUGCUAUCAAUGUGCUGCUAGGUAAAAUGUUUUAUAUGUAUAUUAUUGUACUUUUUGUGGUCCUUAUCAAUGCCUGCUUUGGAUAAAUGUGGCAAUUCUAAAGCUAAUACAUGCAGCAUAAUGACCUACUGGAGAAGAGCUCUGUUAUUAGCCUAAAACCAACCAACCGGAGCUAGUGUCUGUAUUAUAUAGUGAAUCUAUGUAACUUUGGCUAAUCGCAUGGACUUGUCCUGGGUACGUAUCUUUCAUGCUUCUGCCUUAUCAAUUGUCGAUGGUAGGUUACGCGUCUGCCUUGGUCAUAACAGGUGACGGGGAAUCAGGGUUUGAUUCCGGAGAAGGAGCGUGAGAGACGGCUACCACCUCCAGGAAGGUAACAGGCGCCCAAAUUACCACCUCCAGAACGGAGAGAUAGCGACGAAAAAUGACAAUACGGCACUCUUUUGAGAACCCCGUAACUGCAAUGAUGAGUAAUAAUGAAACUGAAUGAGUAUACUCUAAAUCCUUUAACGAGUAUGAAAUGGAGGACAAGUCUGGUGCAGCAACUGUGAUAAUUCCAGCUCCAGUAGCG
rnacentral:ncRNA from 1 species